CGACCUCCAACCCUGUGUUGUUAAAACUACCUUGUUGCUUUGGCGGGACCGCUCGGUCUCGAGCCGCUGGGGAUUCGUCCCAGGCGAGCGCCCGCCAGAGUUAAACCAAACUCUUGUUAUUUAACCGGUCGUCUGAGUUAAAAUUUUGAAUAAAUCAAAACUUUCAACAACGGAUCUCUUGGUUCUCGCAUCGAUGAAGAACGCAGCGAAAUGCGAUAAGUAAUGUGAAUUGCAGAAUUCAGUGAAUCAUCGAAUCUUUGAACGCACAUUGCGCCCCUUGGUAUUCCGAGGGGCAUGCCUGUUCGAGCGUCAUUACACCACUCAAGCUAUGCUUGGUAUUGGGCGUCGUCCUUAGUUGGGCGCGCCUUAAAGACCUCGGCGAGGCCACUCCGGCUUUAGGCGUAGUAGAAUUUAUUCGAACGUCUGUCAAAGGAGAGGAACUCUGCCGACUGAAAC
rnacentral:misc_RNA from 1 species